rnacentral:misc_RNA from 1 species
GAUGAAGAACGCAGUGAAAUGCGAUAAGUAAUGUGAAUUGCAGAAUUCAGUGAAUCAUCGAAUCUUUGAACGCACAUUGCGCCCCUUGGUAUUCCGAGGGGCAUGCCUGUUCGAGCGUCAUUACACCACUCAAGCUAUGCUUGGUAUUGGGCGUCGUCCCUAGUUGGGCGCGCCUUAAAGACCUCGGCGAGGCCACUCCGGCUUUAGGCGUAGUAGAAUUUAUUCGAACGUCUGUCAAAGGAGAGGAACUCUGCCGACUGAAACCUUUAUUUUUCUAGGUUGACCUCGGAUCAGGUAGGGAUACCCGCUGAACUUAAGCAUAUCAAUAAGCGGAGGA